UACAGAGACCUCAAGCGUUAUCCGGAAUUAUUGGGCGUAAAGAGCUCGUAGGCGGUCUGUCGCGUCUGCUGUGAAAACUCAGGGCUUAACCCUGAGCUUGCAGUGGGUACGGGCAGACUAGAGUGCGGUAGGGGAGACUGGAAUUCCUGGUGUAGCGGUGAAAUGCGCAGAUAUCAGGAGGAACACCGGUGGCGAAGGCGGGUCUCUGGGCCGUAACUGACGCUGAGGAGCGAAAGCAUGGGGAGCGAACAGG
rnacentral:rRNA from 1 species